GGCAUUUGUAUUCCCAAGUCAGUGUUGCAUGUGGUGAGGUCCUGUUGUCCUGGAGGUGGCUGUACUCCUGCCUGCCCAUUGGAAGCAGUGAAUCCUGCUGUCAUGUGAGUGACUGUGUGGGGUUUGGCUGCUGGCUGGGGUUAAACCACAAGAGUCAUAGUCUGAAGAGUCUGUCCUGGAAGAUCUACAGAGAUGGAAAAGGGACUUGAUAUCCAAAGAUGGAAAUGGAUGGUGAAAACUGACGCUCUGAUGAACAAGAAAUACAACAGAUGGUUAUUACGUGACCUGGUUGUCAGGUGGUUCUUGGCUCCUUAGAAGCCCAGAUCACUUCAAGGAGAGCAGCCAUUUGUUCCUGAUGUUGAGCACUACACAAUCUUCCUGUACCAUCCCCUUCUAUUUUAAAAGGAAAUGAAAAGGCAAUGAAAUGAAAGAAACUAUGAUCAUGGAAGUUUUUGCCAGCAGCAGAAACAAUAUGCCCAGGGGUUUCUGACAUGUACAUAUUCUCUCUAAUAUAAAAGAUUAAAAACUCAGACCAAAGCAAGUCAAAGAAUUUUGAGGAUUCCUUCAGAUAAAAAGAACCACCUGGCUUUCUCAUAUAUUGAGAAAAUUUUAUUGAGCAAAUUUGCAGCCUAGAAAACAAUGAUCCAAGAAGUUAACUAUCUGUCAUUGUUAAUCCCAUGCAACAUGAUCUGUAACAGAAGAGAAGCCAGAAGAUUACUCUGAAAGUUGUAUGACAGACAGAAACUGAUGUUAAAAGAAAUCCACAAUUGUCAGUCACAUGCAUGAAUCCCACUGCUGGAAGUUUUUCAGUAAAUCAGCAUCUUUGGACCCACGUGCAAAUCCUCUGAGAGAGCCAUGCACCUGUGACUGAGCUGAUGGAGCAGCAACGCAGAGAGGGGGCCUGAGAUCAGCUCCCUAAACAAGCAGACCUCAGUGGCUGCUCCUGACCACCUCCUAGUCUGACUGAAUCCUUUCUCUGGCCCAGUAUGGCUUCUCCUGUGUGUGUGAUCACAGCCUGUCUAUACAGAAACUACCAUCCUGAGGUGUGAACCUUGAAAAGCUGAUUCAAGUACCAGAAACAACCUAAAUGUGGCAGAUCUGUGGUCCCUGCGCACUUGAAAAAGCCAGGUAAAUAUGUCUGCAGAGAUCUGGUUCCCACAUGACCGGGUUGUUUUCUUACUGAAGGCAGCUCAGGUGUAAAGCUUACACAGUAUCACUCCACUCUGCUGUAGUCUAGGAAGGAGGCAUCUCAUACAUGGGAUCUGACACAGCAAAGGACAGCAUUUGGGCUCUGGGUUACAACUGCCAGCUGCUUCCUUCUUUGCCUCUUUUCUCCUCUUCCUGUGUUUGUUUUGGUUUAUGUUUGUGUUUGCUUAGGCAACAAACUUAAGCACAACUCUGAGAUGUCCUCUCCUCCCUCCCAGUUUGGCAAAUUACCAGAAGCCUACACACAGAGCAGCCUACAGGGAAGGAAGAGCAUGCAGAGUGCUGGGAGUCCAAGGGGCUCCCAUUGGAGAUCAUGGCUUCCUUCCUCAUCCUGCUCAAGUCUGCCUUCAAAUGUUACCAUGGUGGUUGUCUUUUCAAAUAUGAAUGGUCCUUCCAUUUCCUUCUCUUGCCUUGCGCCCACAAAUUUUAGCAGGAGCUUUUUUGAAAAAGCACUCUCAUCACAGUUCCUGUACUGCCUCCUGCAUGCAGGCAGAAAGUGAGGAUGGAGAUAAAAAAAUAAGGGAAAUCAAAGAACAUCUAACAAUUCUGAACAUACAUUUCCUCAAAAAAUUAUUGAAAAAAUACCAUUUGGCAACUCGAUGAACCUAGUGUUAUCUUUUUUUUUUUUCCCAAGCUAGGUUUCUUUUUGUUUAGCCUUCCUAUCUGGGUAGCUUUUAACAAAUUCAGCUGUCACUUUCUAUAUGAGUGAGAACAUUUUUAGUUCUUUGGAUCAAGCUGGCAAGAAGUGAGCAGUAGUGUGAGACCAUCAGCAGGUGCGUGGGAGACAGCAGCAAUUUGGGAAGCCUGGAAGAGUGCUGGUGAGGGAAAUCAAUGUUCAAGAAGCAUAGUAAAAAUCUUUCUGGUCAUAAGAGGUAUUGCUGGAACAACUGUGCUGCUGAGAGCAUAAUUUGCUUUUCUCUUCUUCAGCAGUUUCUGAUCUUUGUAUGUUAUCUCUAGGAUUUAAAGACAGUUUCCUUUUUUCAAUGCAUUUGGAAAUAUUAAUCUUUGGAUUGAAGUAGAAAUUUUAGCCAUAGUUCCUGAGGGCCACAUAUUUAACAUCUGUUUAAAAGCAAGCAGGAGAGCAAUUUUUUGAAUCUCAUACUACAUCCGGAUCAAAAAGUCACUGCAAAAAGGAGCAUUGUAACAAGAAAUACUCCAAUCAUGGAACAUUUCCAAGUAAAAUUUCCUAAUAAUUAUAUCUGCUAGACAUAAAAGCAGAUAAAUUAUAUUGAAUCAACUUGUACAUAAAUAUGAAAGCAGUAGAGGAAGUAUGGCAACAUGAGUCACCUACACACCAAAUAAUUAUUAACAUUCUUGUUGAUUUUGGUCUUAAGUGUCAGGGUGAUUCCCUGCUGUAAAAGCCCCAGUGAAUGCAUUUGUAUUAGCACUUAGCAGCAGAGGACUCUAAUCUGCCAAUUCCUAAAAAUGAAUGCAACAUUCUUGAGGAAACCAUGCUGGAACUGGCACUCUGGGUGAAAUUCUGAAGAGGAAAGUUUUCACUGCCUUUAAGAAGGCCAACAUUUGUUGACUGAUAACAACUAAUGACAGAAUGGAGAGUUUGAGUAUCAAAGACAUAGUUAAUGAAAGGUAUACUAAAGGGUUGAGUUGAAAAACACAUUAUAAUCAAAUGGGAAUUGUCUUAGCCUCAGGUCUGAUGUGCUUUUCAUAAUGCUGGUGUAGUCCUUUGUUAUUCAGUGUGUCAGGAUAAUCUACACUGGGAGUGAAAUUAGGAAUAUUACAGAGCAAAAGAGGCAAACCAGAAAAAGAAAUUUCAAACAAAUGCCUGGACUCCAGGAGGACACUGUCUGGCUGUCCUAAAGAGAAAGAGGUGUGCCAGAGGUAAGUAAAAGGGAAUUAUAUCAAAGAUGAAAGUCACAGAAAGAAGAGGUAAUGGGUAGGAUUCUCUUGUUUCCAAGUCAAACCACCUAAUUAUUUACAACAGAACAUUAAUUGUCCAUUAAACAUAGGUGCUGUGGAAAGUAACUAUAUAAGGAAAAAAGGUGUUUGAAUGAAAAUGUUUUUGCAGGGAGCACUUUCACCUUCCCGGUGAUAUGCAGGUUCUUAUUUUCUUGGUCCUUCUAUGGCUUCAUGAAAUCAUCCUAUAUUUCCUUAGUUAAAUGUUUGGAGGAAAAAUACUAAACAUUUUAUGUUCAUCCAUGCUACAGAAGGAACUUUCAGGUAUGAUUCUCUGCUUGAGGUAAGACAUGUAUCUGCCCUGUUUCAUACCAUAUUAUAAUCUAAGUACUAGGAAGAUGAAAGGGAUGUUAUUAUACUGAAACGAUAUAUUUUGUUUAUUUUAGAGUGUUUUUUUACUCUGUGCCUGGUCUGGAUGAACAUGAUUUUGAUAUAAUAUAAAAGAGGAAAAAAACAAAAUCACUGGAGUCAUAAGAAGAAUACUGUCUUCUGUUUUACUUGAAGAAGCAUUGUCAUUGAAGUUUCUUCUUUGUAAUAAGAUUAUUGAUCUUUUUUUUCUGUUCAGAUGCUACCAACUUAUGGUUGCAUGCCAUGGUAAAGACUAGGAGAAUAUUAAUAAUCAAUGGAGGAUACACAGAAGGAGAGUGUACUCCAAGGAGAGCAGAGCAAAACUAUAGCAUAAAGUGCCUGGAAAAAAUAGUCUCAUAAUUUUGGUAUGAACUUGUUUCCCUGCAGAAGAGGAGCUGAAGUGAAAAUCUGUCAACAAAAUCUGCAUUGCAUUUGAUAGCCUGUUCAGCUGCCUGCAGAGAGAAGACACAGUCCAGGAGACCUAGCAGCCAGAACUUCUAGAAAUGGCAUGCUGCCAGAGUCUGACAGAAAAUAACUUAAAAUACUAUCUACUGGUUCUAUAGCUAACAGGAUUGUUCCCAGACUUCAUAAGUGCAUACACAAAAAGAGACAGUUGUGAUAAAGGGUUAAUAUGCUGGGUGAAUACUUGUUUAUAUCUCUAUAUUGUUAGCACCAGGGUGUUGAUGAGCACAUAUUUAUCCAUAAGCCACUAAUUUACUGCCACUUUGCCCAUGGUGUUGGAGAACCUCAUUACUUCCCAGUAUCUGAUUGGGAGAAGCUGACCAGAAUUUUAACAGAAUCACGAGAGCACUACAAUGAGCUUCAUGCUGCAAUGAACCUGUUGUCUAAGGCUGCCACACAGCUCAUCAUGACCCACUGGCCUGCUACUGGUCAUGUCAAAUGUUCUGCAGAGCCCUGAGGAAGAUUCUGGUUUGAGCCAUCCAGCUUGCUUUAAACCUGCUCUAAAGACAAGAUCAUGUAAAGCUGAUGGUUUGUGUGAAGCUUCCAGAAGUGGCUUUAAUAUGACAACCUUCAUGGCAGGAUAAUAUUUCAUGUGGAACCUCAUGCUUAGAGGACUGAACUGGGAGAUUGUGGCUAAAGCUGUUAGAGAAGGGCAUAAGUCCUCAAUGACAACAUACAAGUGGCAAAGGGGUCAUUGUUUACAUUCACAUUUGAGGUAAAAUCCACUAGAGAUGAUCACUGGAGAAAGAAAUUCACAGAAGAUGAAUUGAGAAAAUGAGGUGCCUGUGGUGAAAUUCUGGGUAAAAGCACAAAAUUAACUGUCAUCCAAGCCAAAGAAGGCUAUCUGGAGACACUGGAAAAACCUUACUGGAAAAUUAAUCAAUGUGUCUUGCAUAAAACCUGGUUUUGUAAGGAGCUCACCAGAGUAGAGAUGCUAAUGGCAAGAGGCUCUGUAGACCUGACCAAGGCACCUUUCUGCAGGGCAAAGGAAGAGGUUGGACUUCUUUUUCAGAUUAAUUUCUUGAUUUGCAAGAUGUCUUAGUGUCAGGUUCCUACUUGAACCAGGUAGCGCAGAAUGUAUGGCAGUAGCAUUCAGGAUAGAGCACACUUGACUAACAGCCAGUGUCUGAUACACUUCCCUGUGUUGUGCUGGGAUGAACAGAGACAGCGAGAACCAAACCUUCACAGCCUCGGCAGC